rnacentral:rRNA from 1 species
GAUGAACGCUGGCGGCGUGCCUAACACAUGCAAGUCGAGCGAUGAAGUUCUCUUCGGAGAACGGAUUAGCGGCGGACGGGUGAGUAACACGUGGGCAACCUGCCUUGUAGAGGGGAAUAGCCUUCCGAAAGGAAGAUUAAUACCGCAUAAUAUUGUUGAGUGGCAUCACUCGAUAAUCAAAGGAGCAAUCCGCUACAAGAUGGGCCCGCGUCGCAUUAGUUAGUUGGUGGGUAAUGGCCUACCAAGACGACGAUGCGUAGCCGACCUAAGAGGGUGAUCGGCCACAUUGGGACUGAGACACGGCCCAGACUCCUACGGGAGGCAGCAGUGGGGAAUAUUGCACAAUGGAGGAAACUCUGAUGCAGCAACGCCGCGUGAGCGAUGAAGGUCUUCGGAUCGUAAAGCUCUGUCUUCGGGGAUGAUAAUGACAGUACCCGAGGAGGAAGCCACGGCUAACUACGUG